ACAUGCCUACAACAUAGCAUUAAUGACCAAAUCCCAUUAAAACUUCGCAGUUAAACACGCUCAGACUAGAGUAGUAUUGGGAUGGGUGACCUCCUGGGAAGUCUUAGUGUUUUACAUGAC
rnacentral:rRNA from 1 species